GCCUCAGCGGGAGGCGCGGAAAUGCAAACCUAGCCUGCUGGCGUGAAAGCCCCCGGGGCCUAGCCACCACCCCCCCACGACAAGGCGACCCCCCACCUCUGUCUCUAUUCUAAGCCCCCCCUUUGCCCACCGCUACCCCUCUUCCUUCAUCCACCCUUCUCCAUUACUUGAGUUUGUGUUCUAAAUUCCAAGUGUUUUUGUCCUGGCGCUCGCCAAGAAAAUCGAUGGUUAGGAGAGAAACACCCGAAGAAUAGGAUCCAUCGUCUUUCACACAGCUCCCAAACAGGCGAAAGGCUCUCUUCCUGUGUGAAGAUUGGAAAGAGCCUUGGAAAUAGCAGGAGACCCGGGACUCUUUAUACAGAUGUGAUGAUGUUAUCAAGAUCUUGACAUGGGGAGAUGAACCAGAGAGAUCCUGGAAAUGGCCCAGCUCCAGACUGGGGGAGGCGAGAGAAGUUUGGCAGCAGCGCUUGGAACAGAGAAACCAACUAAAAACCCAGUGGAUCUGAAAUCCUUUUGAAGGUGCUGAGAAACCAAACAUCCUACUACCCUGAACUUGGAGUGGCCUGCCCUGACUCAGGACUUCUAAAAGGAGUCUGAUAGACUCACCAGCUUAGAAUGGACACAGGACAGAUGGACAGGUGUCUGGAUAAAAAUACCCCCCUACUAAUGCUGUGCCCGUACUUUGAGUUUACUCUAAGCCCCAGUCCUUCCCCUCUUUCAACCUCUGAACAGCAAACAGCCAACUAUAUAAAUCACUCCCUUAGUGGGGACUGGGGAGAUGGCUUAGCGGUUAAAGGCUUUCUCUGACAGCCUGAAGACCCGAGUUCAAUCCCCAGCACCCAUGUAAAGCUGGACACAAAGUGCACGUGCCCAUAAUCUCAAGACACGACAGUAGAAGGAGAUGAAGCCAUGAGAAUCCCCAGCUUUACCAGCGAGUGAGAUGCUCCUUCCCAGUGGCAAAAGCAAGAGGGACCCUGUCAAAGGAUAUGGAAAGAGAAGACUAUCCUCUGAUCUCCACACAUGCACCCAGACACUCACAAAAAGGAAAAAAAAAAUGUUUUUAAGCUUGG